CGCGGGGUGGAGCAGCUUGGUAGCUCGUCGGGCUCAUAACCCGAAGGUCGUUGGUUCAAAUCCAGCCCCCGCAACCACUU
rnacentral:tRNA from 1 species